rnacentral:tRNA from 1 species
GCCCUUGUAGCUCAGAUGGCUAGAGCUCCCGCCUUGUAAGCGGGAAGUCCAGAGUUCGAAUCUCUGCAACGGCA